rnacentral:rRNA from 1 species
AUUGAACGCUGGCGGCAGGCCUAACACAUGCAAGUCGAACGGUAACAGAAAGCAGCUUGCUGCUUUGCUGACGAGUGGCGGACGGGUGAGUAAUGUCUGGGAAACUGCCUGAUGGAGGGGGAUAACUACUGGAAACGGUAGCUAAUACCGCAUAACGUCGCAAGACCAAAGAGGGGGACCUUCGGGCCUCUUGCCAUCGGAUGUGCCCAGAUGGGAUUAGCUAGUAGGUGGGGUAAAGGCUCACCUAGGCGACGAUCCCUAGCUGGUCUGAGAGGAUGACCGGCCACACUGGAACUGGGACACGGUCCAGACUCCUACGGGAGGCAGCAGUGGGGAAUAUUGCACAAUGGGCGCAAGCCUGAUGCAGCCAUGCCGCGUGUAUGAAGAAGGCCUUCGGGUUGUAAAGUACUUUCAGCGGGGAGGAAGGGAGUAAAGUUAAUACCUUGGCUCAUUGACGUUACCCGCAGAAGAAGCACCGGCUAACUCCGUG